UCACUUUUUCAAGGGAUAACUAAACAGAGAGAAGAAAAACACAGAGAGAGAGAGAGAGAGAGAGAGAGAAUUUAUUUCAGUGUUGAAAUUGAGAAGGGAGAACUAAACAGAACUUUCCGUUAUUUCUGGAGUUGCUGUCCUCUAAAGCUAAGCAUAUUGGACAACACCGAUGAAAGAUUUGAGCUUGUCUCAGCGCCAAGUAAUCUCUUUCGUCUUCCCUCGUAUUUCUCUCAAUUCCCAGUAAACCCAACGCUCAAUUUUUCACUUCAAAUUCUACAGGAAACAGGGGAAAACUAAAACCCUUAAAGCAAUUGAGCUUCAUCCUGCUAUUUAGAUUGGUUAGCUAACUAAUUGCUUUGGUUAGUGCGGUUGGCAAUUCAGUUGCUUAAUUAAAAGAUUAAUUUGAUAUAUACAAUGGGAAGUUGAGGCUCGUUCUCGAUGGGGACAUAUAACUAAAUAAAGGUUUCACUUCUGGUGGUGUAUCCUUGGAACAUAGUGCUGGUUAAAGUUAGUGCGUUGUUGGAGGUGUAGUGUUGAAGAUUGAAUUUGAUGGAAGUGGAUGGAAGUGCCUCAACAGUUUCUAGGGGUGCUCAAUCAAUUCCACUACAAUCCAGGCGGCAGAGAGCUUUCUAUCAGUUUACACAGCAGAGCCUCCCCGCUUGUAAGCCUGUCCUCACACCAGCAUGGGUGAUUACUACAUUUUUAUUGGUUGGUGCCAUUUUCAUACCAGUUGGGCUUAUUACACUUCAUGCCUCCCAGAACGUUGUAGAAAUUGUGGACCAAUAUGAUACAGAGUGUGUCCCGGAGGCAUUCAAGAGCAAUAAGGUGGCCUACAUCAAAGAUAACUUAAUCUCUAAAAACUGUUCUCGGUACUUGAAGGUUUACAAGCAUAUGAAAGCUCCAAUUUAUAUCUACUAUCAGCUUGAUAACUACUAUCAAAACCACCGACGGUAUGUCAAAAGUAGAAGUGAUCAGCAGCUUUUACAUGGAUUGGGGUACAAUGACACAAGCUCCUGUAAACCUGAGGAGUCCAAGAAUGGUCUUCCAACUGUUCCUUGUGGCUUGAUAGCGUGGAGUUUGUUUAAUGAUACCUAUACUUUUAUUCGUGGAAGAACUGAAUUAAAAGUCAACAGGAAGAACAUAGCAUGGAAGAGUGACCGUGAUCACAAAUUUGGGAAGCAUGUAUAUCCCUUUAAUUUCCAGAAUGGGACCUUGAUCGGUGGUGGAAAGCUAGAUCCAAGAAUUCCUCUAAGCGAUCAAGAAGAUCUUAUUGUAUGGAUGCGGACAGCUGCACUCCCCAGUUUCCGGAAGCUGUAUGGUAGAAUUGAAGAGGAUUUGGAUGCAGAUGAUGUUCUAGUAGUCAAUCUAACGAACAACUACAAUACUUACAGUUUUGGUGGGAAAAAGAAGAUUGUCCUUUCAACAUCAAGCUGGUUAGGAGGAAAGAAUGACUUCCUUGGGCUUGCCUAUACUUUUGUUGGUUCGACUUCCAUAUUCAUCUCUGUUGUCUUCUUGUUGCUACAUAUGAAAAAUCCAAGAACUCUUUAAUUGCCGUAACUGGGUUGCCUUCCCAAAUUUUCCCUGUCACUGGUUUCAAUACUGAUUUGGCCCUAUAGGGAAAUACCUUAUCUGCCUUGGAACAAGCAAAGCGUUUCCAGCAGAAGAUGUGAUGAUACUUUAUGAAUAGUUUGAAUCUGUGGAUUUAAUGUGACCUCAACACCUACACGUGAAUUAUCAAAAUGUCGAGCGAUUUCAAAAUGUACUUGCAAAAGAGAAAGGGGUUCUUUUUUGUGUAAUAUAGAAGAAAAACAGCAUUCGAGCUAGUUACAUGUUGUACAUGCUACAGAAUUUGUUCAGUCAUUGAUGACUGGUUUUCUCUGUAUUCUUGUACUAUAAGAUGAAAAAUUAGUUUGGAUGAAACUUUGUAUUCAAAUGGGGGUGAAUGGAGCUUGGUUUCUAUUUUCAA